CCAAUAGCGUAUAUUAAAGUUGCUGCAGUUAAAAAGCUCGUAGUUGAAUUUCGGGACUGAUAUGUCGGUCGUGCCUCGGUACGUACUGGUAUUUUUGGUUUCUCCCUUCUGACGAACCUUGAUGUCAUUAAUUUGGUGUCUUGGGAAAUCAGGACUGUUACUUUGAAAAAAUUAGAGUGUUUAAAGCAGGCUCACGCUUGAAUACAUUAGCAUGGAAUAAUGAAAUAGGACGUUUGAUUCUAUUUUGUUGGUUUCUAGGAUCGACGUAAUGAUUAAUAGGGAUAGUUGGGGGCAUUAGUAUUCAAUUGUCAGAGGUGAAAUUCUUGGAUUUAUUGAAGACUAACUACUGCGAAAGCAUUUGCCAAGGAUGUUUUCAUUAAUCAAGAACGAAAGUUAGGGGAUCGAAGACGAUCAGAUACCGUCGUAGUCUUAACCAUAAACUAUGCCGACUAGGGAUCGGAUGAUGUUAAUUUUUUAAUGACUCAUUCGGCGCCUUAC
rnacentral:rRNA from 1 species